CACGUAGGGUGCGAGCGUUGUCCGGAAUUAUUGGGCGUAAAGAGCUCGUAGGCGGUGUGUCGCGUCGGCCGUGAAAACUUGCAGCUUAACUGUGGGCGUGCGGUCGAUACGGGCAUCACUGGAGUUCGGCAGGGGAGACUGGAAUUCCUGGUGUAGCGGUGAAAUGCGCAGAUAUCAGGAGGAACACCGGUGGCGAAGGCGGGUCUCUGGGCCGAUACUGACGCUGAGGAGCGAAAGCGUGGGGAGCGAACAG
rnacentral:rRNA from 1 species